AUGCAAGCUCCGCAUUUAUGCACCAGUCCGUGUUAACACAGCCCUCGUCCACUAGUCUUACCCGGCAACAGAGCAGCCAGCCUGGUAGCUGGAAAGUCC